rnacentral:rRNA from 1 species
UGCUAGCGGCAUGCCUAACACAUGCAAGUCGAGGGGUAGAGGAAGCUUGCUUCCUUGAGACCGGCGCACGGGUGCGUAACGCGUAUGCAAUCUGCCUUGUACUGAGGGAUACCCCGCAGAAAUUUGGAUUAAUACCUCAUAGCAUUAUGAAAUCGCAUGGGUUUAUAAUUAAAGUUCCAACGGCACAAGAUGAGCAUGCGUCCCAUUAGUUAGUUGGGAUGGUAACGGCUUACCACGACGAUGAGGGGUAGGGGUCCUGAGAGGGAGAUCCCCCACACUGGUACUGAGACACGGACACUACUCCUACAGGAGGCAGCAGUGAGGAAUAUUGGUCAAUGGACGCAAGUCUGAACCAGCCAUGCCGCGUGCAGGAUGAAGCAUCUAUGGUGUGUAAACUGCUUUUGUACGGGAAGAAACCCUCCUACGUGUAGGAGCUUGACGGUACCGUAAGAAUAAGGAUCGGCUAACUCCGUGCCAGCAGCCGCGGUAAUACGGAGGAUCCGAGCGUUAUCCGGAAUCUUUGUGUUUAAAGGGUCCGUACGCGGCUUUAUAAGUCACUGAUGAAAGCCCAUCGCUUUACGAUGGAACGGCCAUUGAUACUGUGCAGCUUGAAUUACUUGGAAAUAACUAUAAUAUGUAGUGUAGCGGUGAGAUGCUUAUAUAUAACAUGGAGUACCACUUGCGAGGGCAGGUUACUACGAGUGUAUUGACGCUGACGUACGAAAACGUGGGGAGCGAACAGGAUUAGAUACCCCUGUGUAGUCCCACGCCGUAUACGAUAUGAUACUAUGCUGUGUCGGAGCAAUCUGAGUGGCUAAACGAAAGUGAUAAGUAUCCCACCUGGGGAGUACGCACGCGAGUGUGAGACUCAAAUGAAUUGACGGAGAGGGCGAAUU